rnacentral:rRNA from 1 species
AGGAUGAACGCUGGCGGCGUGCCUAACACAUGCAAGUCGAGCGAUCUUCUUCGGAAGAGAGCGGCGGACGGGUGAGUAACGCGUGGGUAACCUGCCCUGUACACACGGAUAACAUACCGAAAGGUACGCUAAUACGGGAUAACAUAUGAGAGUCACAUGACUUUUAUAUCAAAGCUUUUGCGGUACAGGAUGGACCCGCGUCUGAUUAGCUAGUUGGUAAGGUAACGGCUUACCAGGGCGACGAUCAGUAGCCGACCUGAGAGGGUGAUCGGCCACACUGGAACUGAGACACGGUCCAGACUCCUACGGGAGGCAGCAGUGGGGAAUAUUGCACAAUGGGCGAAAGCCUGAUGCAGCAACGCCGCGUGAGCGAUGAAGGCCUUCGGGUCGUAAAGCUCUGUCCUCAAGGAAGAUAAUGACGGUACUUGAGGAGGAAGCCCCGGCUAACUACGUGCCAGCAGCCGCGGUAAUACGUAGGGGGCUAGCGUUAUCCGGAAUUACUGGGCGUAAAGGGUGCGUAGGUGGUUUUUUAAGUCAGAAGUGAAAGGCUACGGCUCAACCGUAGUAAGCUUUUGAAACUAAAGAACUUGAGUGCAGGAGAGGAGAGUAGAAUUCCUAGUGUAGCGGUGAAAUGCGUAGAUAUUAGGAGGAAUACCAGUAGCGAAGGCGGCUCUCUGGACUGCAACUGACACUGAGGCACGAAAGCGUGGGGAGCAAACAGGAUUAGAUACCCUGGUAGUCCACGCCGUAAACGAUGAGUACUAGGUGUCGGGGGUUACCCCCCUCGGUGCCGCAGCUAACGCGUUAAGUACUCCGCCUGGGAAGUACGCUCGCAAGAGUGAAA